rnacentral:rRNA from 1 species
UACGUAGGGUCCGAGCGUUGUCCGGAAUUACUGGGCGUAAAGAGCUCGUAGGUGGUUUGUCGCGUUGUUCGUGAAAACUCACAGCUCAACUGUGGGCGUGCGGGCGAUACGGGCAGACUGGAGUACUGCAGGGGAGAUUGGAAUUCCUGGUGUAGCGGUGGAAUGCGCAGAUAUCAGGAGGAACACCGAUGGCGAAGGCAGAUCCCUGGGCCGUAACUGACGCUGAGGAGCGAAAGCAUGGGGAGCGAACAGG